GAGAGGAGCACCCGAGUGAGAGAGAGACACGAAGCUCUGACUUGCUAAGCCAUCCCCACAUCACAGUGUUGGUCCUCUACUUUUGGUGGUGUGAAUUCAUGCAGAAGAAGGACAGUACAGGUUGUCCCACUUCAAGGUACUGCAGAAUUGAAAGAUGAAUCAUUAAGAGUGUGGAAAGGUGCACAUCUGAGCAGAGAGCGGAAAAAACUGUUCAACUAACAGAAGGAGUUUAAAAGUGUCUAGAAAAAGUUGAGAAGAACAGUUCUGGUUCUCCUGUUUUCAUAGCAUAAAAAACAAGGAGACUUAAUGGCAUUAUGAUUUAGAAAAUUAAACACAGAUUAAAAGAGAUACUUUUUCAACCAGUAUAAUUGUAUGGUAGUUCACUACCAAAGAACAACAUGUCUAGGGCCAAGAAACCAGCAAGAGCCAAAGAUAGCAUGCUUAGCAGAUACCAGAAGUGUUACUGCAUCAUCCACUCUCUAGAACUUUGGAAAAGCUGUUUUGUUUAAAGCCAGGACCCUGAAUUUAAACAUUUUCCAGAAGUCAGAAUGAGAUCUGCCAUUAAGGAAGGGUUCUCUCAACUCUGUGCAGAUAAGAUAACUUGCUAUUGCUUGACCAGCAUCAAACACCGGGCUUGACAGACCCCAGUUCCCAUUGGGCACAAUCUGGAGCCGUAAAACAACAUGCCUCACCGGCCUCAACACCGGUGUUACAAAUGUGAGGAGGCAGCUACGGGAGAGAGAUGCCCAUCUCCCGCUACCGUGCUGAUGAGGCUUCUGUAGAAAAGAAGAAAAAGCUCUCAAGACUGGUAAUUAGAAUAUCCGUUUUCAAAAAGCCCGAAGUGUAAAGGCUGAUAGAUGAGCAACUGCACACAUCAAAAAGAUGAACCGGCUCUGAACCUUUGAGCUAUAUGAAUCAGGGAAGUGCUUACUGUCAUUUAAACAGCCCAAGACCACGUCUGUAUUAGCAAAUACAAAACAUACAGGGUUUCUAGAUGUUCAGAAAAUGCAAGACCAUCAGGGUAUCCUGGAAGAUGGGAGUACACAGCGAUUAGCUUCCCUCUAGGGAAAGCCAGUGCGGGGAAGAAGAAAUAUCAGGAAAAUUGUGUGGGGAGAAGCAGAAAGAAAAAGGGUUUUCUUUGCCAUUUUAUCUCCUUCUGGAGUGUUUACUUACCUUCCCAACCCUCGUUUUAAUCCUCCCCCAUACUGAUUCUCCCUCAGCCAAUUUACAUCCCAGGUCACUUGCUUUUAUACUGCCUCACUCUUUCUUACCAGCAAUAAUCUGUCCCUAUUUGUGAAAUGGGUGAGCUGAGCAACAGCUAGUGGCAUCAGGGCAGGGUUUCUACCUAAAGCGUACAUUUUGCUGUAGAAUUGUACUUCUCAAAAGCCGUACUUAGUUUCAGAUACCAGCAUGAUGGGCGAUAUAGUCUCUUAGAAAAGCAGUGCUCUAAAGUUUAAAUAUAUAUAUAUAUAAAAUCACAGAAAGGAACAACAUAGAUGCAAACCUGUCUUCUCCAUAGACAAAUGCAUCUCAUCGUCUUCAUGUAUGUUGUGCUGCCUUGCCAGUUAUUCCUAUUCUGUUCUCUAUGUAAAAUAAGUGUUCUAAUACACUUUUGAUUGAAAUGAUAAUACAACUACACCUGCAUUUGCAACUGAAAGUCUUCUGGCAAUCUAGGUAGAGAACAUGACAUCAAAGCAGGAGGACUCUUUUGAAGGGGGUAGGCAGAACCUAAGCAAGCUCUAAAAUAAAAGCCAGAUACAAGCUCUUUCCUAAAAAUACAGAAAAAGGAAAAGUGUAAUAACAAGCACCAUGGGUUUUAUUUGUGGACCCAUCCUGGUUCUAUGUUGUGGUGUAACACACAUCCAAAUUCACACUUCCUAAGUCAUUCAUAAGACAUCCACAAGACUUAUUUGACCUUUACUUUUUAGGUCUUUUAAAAGGAACGAUCUGACAGUUUGUUGUCUCUGGAUUAGCUCAAGCACAGCACAGAAAACACGUCUAUUCAGAAUUCUAAAUCUUAUGAUAUCACAAACAGGACAGAUUUCACAUAAUUGUGUAAGCCUUCUGGGUUUUCCUUUAUCAGCUUGGAUAUGUCUAACUUUAAGCUCCAAAUGACAAGGAUUAGCAAUGUGUUUGUGCUGGCAUCACUUCAGAAGUGGCUGUGUGUAGAUUUUUCCAUUCCAAUAUACCUAAAAAUUAAGCCAUCGUAUUUGAAGCAAAACCGUGCCAAGUAAAACUUAUCUGCAUUCAUUACAAAAUUAGAGCUCCUAGCAAGGUUCAUGAACUUUUCUGCAUAAAGCUCAGAUCAGGUGCAAACGUAUCUGGGAUAUUUUGUUUGUUUUAAAGUCAAGCUGCACCUAACCAGGGCCAGAUGCAAAAUACAAGGUUUAGCGUAAUGAAGCAGAAUUCAGCAGGUUCAGCGGAUUUCUGCCCAAGCAGUGAGUUUUGGAAUGUGUUUAAACAAAUUCAGAAUAAACGCCAGGGAGAAAAUUAAGAGUGUUAAAAUUUUCACAUAUCAAAGAAAAAGCUCACAAAGUGAAUAAAAUCAAAGUAUCAAAUGGCAAUUUUCUGCUCCUUGUUGUGGGCUUUGGAUGAGGCUUAUGCCAAGUUCACAUUUCUUGUGACUUUGGACAGAAAAAAGGUCAAGUUAUAUCUUCUUGUUUCUUGAGUAAAACAAACAUGCUUUAUUUUUUAUAUCACAAUUUCAAAAGUAGCAAGAAAAUUACAUGGUAAAGGUGAGCAAUUUGGAGAUAAAACUCUGCAAAGAAGAUUUUUUUUUUUAUGAAAGAUUUAUUGCAGCCUUUACAUCUUCUCUCCCCACUCAAUUUUCCUUACUGUAUUUCAUCUGUUCUCAUUCCAGUAAGUACCUUUGUGAUUCUUUAUUGUGAGGCUGUGAAGCAUAAAUACCAAUUGGUAAGACACUGAAAUAAAAACGGUUCUGCAAUAUCAGAAUAGAGUUCCCUAGCCUCCCAGAAAGUAUGUUUUCACUUUAGUCUCUUCAGUUUGAGCUUGUCUAGCUCCACUGAGAUCCUGUCUAAUAUGAGUUUUUUUGUGAUUAAUAUCAACGCCAGGUUGGUAGGCGCUUUGGACAGCCUGGUCUAGUAGAAGGUGUCUGUGUCCAUGGCAGGGGGUUGGAACAGGAGGGUCUUUAAGGUCUUUUCCAACCCAAACCAUUCUAUGAUUAAACCGACGCUUACAUCUACAUCUUCCUAUAAAGAAAGUAAGUAUUAAAAAAUGUUAUUUUUUGAGGAGUGAGGUGCUUGCUGCUGGUGGUCAGCUUUCAACACCUCCUAAGUAAGUCUUUAAUUCUAGUCUUGUAGCAGAUCUUGUAACAACAGUCAGCAUCUCUCUCAAAAUCGUGCACUGGAUAUAUAUGCAAUGCUCCGAUUCUCUACUGUAAAUAAUGAACCCUGGUACUAAGGUGAAAAAAGAAAGUCUCUUGCACAGAGACAGACUAACUGAUGUGAUUGUUACACAUAACAUCACUGUCACUUGAGCAAGAAACUAGCAUCAUCAUAAUUUAAGCUUCCGUCGUCUUUGGAAUUGCUGUCCCAUUGAACACUCACCCAAAUCCAGUGGGACCACUAGGAGUGGAUUCUGCUGCAUGCUCCCUUCAGCCUCCCCUUUUUUCUGCCCUCUAACAUUAUUUCAAUAUGCAGAUAACAAAAAAAGAUUGUGUAGAAUGAAUUUUCCUAUGAUAGUGCUAAAUGCAAAAUUGCAUAAUCCCAUUUCAGCAUUUCUUCAAUAGGCUUUUGAUUUUAAACUUUCUCCUCCCCUUUUGAAGGUUACUAUUAAACCAAAAUUUGCACAGUAAUUCUGCUCUCUCCUCUUCCACUGAUGGUUUUCAAAGUUUUCUGAACCAUUCACGCUAUUUGUGUGUCAGUCAAAGCAGCUAGAAUACCGAAGCAAAAUGGCAUUGUCAGAAGAGACUCUUAGCACCUAUAAGACAGGCCUGUAUUCAGAGCAAACUAAAUCACAGUUUGCUGCCCAGCCAAAUCAUAAGUCACUUUUUGCCAGUUUUCCCCUUGUAAAAAUCAGUGGUAGUUUUCAGUUCCAGGUUUAUUUUUUUCUCCUUCACAGAGUCUCCGGAAGGUUGGUGAUGGAGGGCACCUUUGGAGAUCAUCUUGCCCACGCACUCUGCCUAGAGCUGUGCCAGCUACAGCAGGUUUCUCAAGGCCAUGGUCAGGCUCAUUCCUGCCCUGGCUGAUGUUUUAGCUGCUGAAAGUCUCUGCUGAACCUAGACCUCAAGGGACUGCCUAUGGGUUAAAUGCUAAGACAUACUCUUGAAGGCAUAAAUCUUUAAUUUUAUUAUUUUCUGGCCCCUGACACAAAGAAGGCACCUUUUUCAAAGCAAUUACAAUGAGUAUAUCACCCCAGAAAUCUACCACUGAGGGAGCAGUAGGCAGGAGGAUACAUUCUUGGCCCUUAAUGCAGCCACCAACACCACCUCUAUGACUGGCCACUCCA